rnacentral:rRNA from 1 species
UACGUAGGGUGCGAGCGUUAAUCGGAAUUACUGGGCGUAAAGCGUGCGCAGGCGGUUAUUUAAGUCAGGUGUGAAAGCCCUGGGCUUAACCUAGGAAUUGCGCUUGAGACUGGAUAGCUUGGAGUGCGGCAGAGGGAGGUGGAAUUCCACGUGUAGCAGUGAAAUGCGUAGAGAUGUGGAGGAACAUUGAUGGCGAAGGCAGCCUCCUGGGCCAGCACUGACGCUCAUGCACGAAAGCGUGGGGAGCAAACAGG